AUGAACGCUGGCGGCGUGCCUAAUCCCUGCAAGUCGCGCGAACAGACGAGGAGCUUGCUCCUCUGACGUUAGCGGCGGACGGGUGAGUAACACGUGGAUAACCUACCUAUAAGACUGGGAUAACUUCGGGAAACCGGAGCUAAUACCGGAUAAUAUAUUGAACCGCAUGGUUCAAUAGUGAAAGACGGUUUUGCUGUCACUUAUAGAUGGAUCCGCGCCGCAUUAGCUAGUUGGUAAGGUAACGGCUUACCAAGGCAACGAUGCGUAGCCGACCUGAGAGGGUGAUCGGCCACACUGGAACUGAGACACGGUCCAGACUCCUACGGGAGGCAGCAGUAGGGAAUCUUCCGCAAUGGGCGAAAGCUUGACGGAGCAACGCCGCGUGAGUGAUGAAGGUCUUCGGAUCGUAAAACUCUGUUAUUAGGGAAGAACAAAUGUGUAAGUAACUAUGCACGUCUUGACGGUACCUAAUCAGAAAGCCACGGCUAACUACGUG
rnacentral:rRNA from 1 species